AGAGUUUGAUCAUGGCUCAGAUUGAACGCUGGCGGAAUGCUUUACACAUGCAAGUCGAACGGCAGGCACGGGGCAACUGGUGGCGAGUGGCGAACGGGUGAGUAAUACAUCGGAACGUGCCCAAUCGUGGGGGAUAACGUAGCGAAAGUUACGCUAAUACCGCAUACGAUCUACGGAUGAAAGCGGGGGAUCGCAAGACCUCGCGCGAUUGGAGCGGCCGAUGUCAGAUUAGGUAGUUGGUGGGGUAAAGGCUCACCAAGCCGACGAUCUGUAGCUGGUCUGAGAGGACGACCAGCCACACUGGAACUGAGACACGGUCCAGACUCCUACGGGAGGCAGCAGUGGGGAAUUUUGGACAAUGGGCGCAAGCCUGAUCCAGCCAUUCCGCGUGCAGGAUGAAGGCCUUCGGGUUGUAAACUGCUGUUGUACGGAACGAAAAGGUCCUGGUUAAUACCUGGGGCUCAUGACGGUACCGUAAGAAUAAGCACCGGCUAACUACGUG
rnacentral:rRNA from 1 species